GCGCCCAUAGCUCAACGGACAGAGCGACUGACUUCGGAUCAGUAGGUUGAGGGUUCGAAUCCUUCUGGGCGCG
rnacentral:tRNA from 1 species